GCCAAAUGAUGUUUAUUUCAUAUAGGAGCACUUUUGUGCCAGGACGACUCUUAAAUCUAUCACCCAUGACUGAUGGCU
rnacentral:snoRNA from 1 species